rnacentral:miRNA from 8 species
CCGCAACACGAAACUGUCUUAA